AUACACUUCAGGAGAACUGUCAGCACCAGCAGCCCAGACAACUCAGGUAUCGGCAAGUUCCACUCAAACAGAUGACACCUUUGCUUCAUUUUCAACACCUGGAUUCAGCUCAAAUUCAGUGUCCCCACAAGCAACUGGAAGUGACACAGCGUCAACUCAAUCAACAGGAAGCCCAAUAGAAACAAUUGUGACAAUCUCUACAACUGAAGAAUCCACACAGACCGUUGCAUUCUCCUCAACCGAGCAAUCACUUUCAUCACCAUCCACCCUUUCAACAUCAAGGACAUCAACACCGCUUACAUCACUUAGUUCUGAAUCAGAUGUAUCUACCCCUGCAAGCACAACAGAAUACACUUCAGGAGAACUGUCAGCACCAGCAGCCCAGACAACUCAGGUAUCGGCAAGUUCCACUCA